AGAAGUCUGAGACUUUGAAUGAUAGUCUAGUAUUAAGGAACACUGGAUAAUCUUAUAAUAAGCGAGACUUUCUUGCCACCAAAGGCCAAACCCCAUGCCCACUUCUGCCAUAUCAAGAUCUCUGGAACAAUGGGACUUCCUGUUUGGGCCAAGGGGAAGUGACUGAAAGUCACACCUUACUGAGGCUUGGCAAAGCCUUCUCUAUCGGUUUCCUCACCUGUGAUACUGCCAGGAGGCUGAGACAACUGAACAGAGUGACAUAACAUCCAGGAGGGGCUUCUCACCCAGUGGUCAUCACAGAAGGGCAGGAGGGCCCCUAACAAGGCAUUAAUUCCCUGGAUGACUUUCAGUUUGACCUGCAGCUGGCCCAGGCCCUAGGUGAGUCAGUGUUUGAGAAGGGUCUCCGUGAGAAAGUGACCCAGGAGAACACCAGUGUCCGGUGGGAGCUAGGCCAGCUUCAGCAGCAGCUGAAGCAAAAGGAGCAGGAAGCCUCACAGCUGAAGCAGCAGGUGGAGAUGCUACAGGACCAUAAACGGGAGCUGCUGGGGUCACCCUCUCUGGGGGAAAAUUGCGUUGCUGGCUUGAAGGAGAGGCUCUGGAAGUUGGA
rnacentral:sRNA from 1 species